AUUGAACGCUGGCGGCAGGCCUAACACAUGCAAGUCGAGCGAGCGGCGGACGGGUGAGUAAUGUCUGGGGAACUGCCCGAUGGAGGGGGAUAACUACUGGAAACGGUAGCUAAUACCGCAUACCAUCAGAUGUGCCCACAUGGGAUUAGCUAGUGGGUGGGGUAAUGGCUCACCUAGGCGACGAUCCCUAGCUGGUCUGAGAGGAUGAUCAGCCACACUGGAACUGAGACACGGUCCAGACUCCUACGGGAGGCAGCAGUGGGGAAUAUUGCACAAUGGGCGCAAGCCUGAUGCAGCCAUGCCGCGUGUAUGAAGAAGGCCUUCGGGUUGUAAAGCACUUUCAGCGGGGAGGCGUUACCCGCAGAAGAAGCACCGGCUAACUCCGUGCCAGCAGCCGCGGUAAUAC
rnacentral:rRNA from 1 species